rnacentral:rRNA from 1 species
AUUGAACGCUGGCGGCAGGCCUAACACAUGCAAGUCGAACGGUAGCAGGAAGAAGCUUGCUUCUUCGCUGACGAGUGGCGGACGGGUGAGUAAUGUCUGGGAAACUGCCUGAUGGAGGGGGAUAACUACUGGAAACGGUAGCUAAUACCGCAUAACGUCGCAAGACCAAAGAGGGGGACCUUCGGGCCUCUUGCCAUCGGAUGUGCCCAGAUGGGAUUAGCUUGUUGGUGGGGUAACGGCUCACCAAGGCGACGAUCCCUAGCUGGUCUGAGAGGAUGACCAGCCACACUGGAACUGAGGCACGGUCCAGACUCCUACGGGAGGCAGCAGUGGGGAAUAUUGCACAAUGGGCGCAAGCCUGAUGCAGCCAUGCCGCGUGUAUGAAGAAGGCCUUCGGGUUGUAAAGUACUUUCAGCGGGGAGGAAGGGAGUAAAGUUAAUACCUUUGCUCAUUGACGUUACCCGCAGAAGAAGCACCGGCUAACUCCGUG